rnacentral:rRNA from 1 species
UACGUAGGUGGCAAGCGUUGUCCGGAUUUACUGGGCGUAAAGAGCGCGCAGGCGGUCGACCAAGUCGCGUGUGAAAGCCCCCGGCUCAACUGGGGAGGGUCACGCGAUACUGUUCGACUCGAAGGCAGGAGAGGGUAGUGGAAUUCCCGGUGUAGUGGUGAAAUGCGUAGAUAUCGGGAGGAACACCAGUGGCGAAGGCGACUACCUGGCCUGUUCUUGACGCUGAGGCGCGAAAGCUAGGGGAGCAAACGGG